rnacentral:lncRNA from 1 species
AAGUUUCUUUCUUCCCUUGUUAAGAUAAGGUCUUAUAGUUUUAAGACAAGGGGUCUUCUUUAAGACAAGGUCUUAGACUUCAAGACAAUGAGUCUUCCAUUAGGAUAAGGUUUAGGAAGAUCCUUUUGAAAGGCUAAGAGAGGGGUUUAGGCCAUUUAAGAAAGAAUUGGUGAAGGAGUGCUGGGAAUUAGUCCUAGCAAGGCA